rnacentral:rRNA from 1 species
AAUAGAUACCCGGGUAGUCCACCCCGUAAACGUUGGGAGCUAGUUGUGGGGUCCUUUCCACGGAUUCCGUGACGCAGCUAACGCAUUAAGUUCCCCGCCUGGGGAGUACGGCCGCAAGGCUAAAACUCAAAGGAAUUGACGGGGACCCGCACAAGCGGCGGAGCAUGCGGAUUAAUUCGAUGCAACGCGAAGAACCUUACCAAGGCUUGACAUACACCAGAACACCCUAGAAAUAGGGGACUCUUUGGACACUGGUGAACAGGUGGUGCAUGGUUGUCGUCAGCUCGUGUCGUGAGAUGUUGGGUUAAGUCCCGCAACGAGCGCAACCCUCGUUCUAUGCUGCCAGCACGUAAUGGUGGGAACUCAUGGGAUACUGCCGGGGUCAACUCGGAGGAAGGUGGGGAUGACGUCAAAUCAUCAUGCCCCUUAUGUCUUGGGCUUCACGCAUGCUACAAUGGCCGGUACAAAGGGCUGCAAUACCGUGAGGUGGAGCGAAUCCCAAAAAGCCGGUCCCAGUUCGGAUUGAGGUCUGCAACUCGA